GACGAACGCUGGCGGUAUGCCUAAUACAUGCAAGUCGAACGCUGAAGCACUCUGCUUGCAGAGUGUGGAUGAGUGGCGAACGGGUGAGUAACACGUGGGGAACCUGCCCAUAAGAGGGGGAUAACAUCCGGAAACGGGUGCUAAUACCGCAUAGGUGAUCAUAGCGCAUGCUUAGAUCAUUAAAGAUGGCUUCGGCUAUCGCUUAUGGAUGGCCCCGCGGCGUAUUAGCUAGUUGGUGAGGUAAUGGCUCACCAAGGCUGUGAUACGUAGCCGACCUGAGAGGGUGAUCGGCCACACUGGAACUGAGACACGGUCCAGACUCCUACGGGAGGCAGCAGUAGGGAAUCUUCCACAAUGGGCGAAAGCCUGAUGGAGCAAUACCGCGUGAGUGAAGAAGGUCUUCGGAUCGUAAAGCUCUGUUGUUAGAGAAGAACAAGAGGUGUAGUAACUGGCACCUCCUUGACGGUAUCUAACCAGAAAGUCACGGCUAACUACGUG
rnacentral:rRNA from 1 species